rnacentral:rRNA from 1 species
GUGGAUUAGAUACCCUGGUAGUCCACGCCCUAAACGAUGUCGACUGGUUGUUGGGGGUUUGACACUCUCAGUAACGAAGCUAACGCGUGAAGUCGACCGCCUGGGGAGUACGGCCGCAAGGUUAAAACUCAAAGGAAUUGACGGGGACCCGCACAAGCGGUGGAUUAUGUGGAUUAAUUCGAUGCAACGCGAAAAACCUUACCUACCCUUGACAUGUCGCGAAGCCUGGUGAGAGCCGGGUGUGCCCGAAAGGGAACGCGAACACAGGUGCUGCACGGCGGUAGCCAGCU